GAAAUCGACGCGUUCUUCUCGCUUCUCGUCUACAUCUAAGCAUGCCUACACCUGCGGUUUCCAGAUAGGGUGUUUGGUACGAUCGAGCAACGGUGAAUCUCGCUCUGUUAUUUGUUUGUUCGAAACGCGUGGUUUUGUUUUUGAGAUGAUGUGCAGGUUCCGAUCUGAUUGGUUUGAUUGAUGAGUGGCGAAUCGGAUUGAAGCGAGACGAGGCUGCAUGGUUUCCGUGCUCCGAGGCUUCUGAUCUGCGUGUUUGCUCCGAGACUAUUGGUGCCUGACCCGGCAAAUUGCAAUCUGCCGACCUUCAGAGCCGGGUCGUUCUGGCGAGAUCUAGACGUCGAAGGGCUAUUAAAGCGUGGCUGGAUCUCUUUCUGCACCGCGCCUCUCGAUGAUGUCUCUGUGUUGAUAAUUAUUGGAUGAAAUUUCGAUAAUUAUUAGAUCUGAGAGAUGUUGGUCGGAGCGAUCCGCGCCUAAAUGGCAAGGUAAGUUAAACACAUGUAACUACAGAGUUGCGUGUGUGAAGUCAAAAGAGGGGGAAAGAUACUGAGAAGGGAGGAAAAAAUAUGAAAGAAGUGAGGUGUGACAUCUUGAAGGCCUUUGCCAUUGUGGGUGCGCUCGCAUGGCAGGCCACCAUAAUAAAGAUGCUGGUUUUGUGUGCUGGGUGGGAGAUCGCACGGGGAGUUUUCAUCCCUGGGUUCUGCCACCCUUUUGUGUCCCUGUGCCCUGCUUACGAUUCAUCACGGCGUGUUUCAAAUGAAUGGAGCUACAGCGCAACACAAAGGUACAACUGGAUCUAAAUUUUCAAUUCAAUUGCAAUUUAGAACGCAUAUAUUUAUUUAAAUCCAUGUAUGCACAGCUGCCUGAAGUUACUGAAAUCAUCAUCAAUCGUUAAAACCGUACACGCCUACACUGCUCCUUCCAUGCUUUUUCAUUCACCCAACGUUGCUCUCCCAAAGGCCAUAAACCACUGACACAUGAGGGAGGUGUUCUCUAUAGAGUAUCGACGACGAUAACGCUGAACUGCAUAAAUUUGGUUAUAUCAUCUGAAAUAUAGAAAUCGGGUGCAAAUGAAAUUAGUUACUAUUUGUUCAUUCAAACUAUGAUGUCUGAAAAUUCAGGCAAUUACAGAUUCUCACACGAGAUUAUGAGGUUGUGAUCCAAAUCGACAAUUAUCUGUUGAUUUGUUCAAUGUCUUAUGGCUGAUCCUGUUGGAGUUUAUUGGGUUUGGUCCAUUUACUCAACAACUUUUAAAGGCCCCCUCUGUUUCUGACCUUACCUUGUGCGUUGAGUUCAUAAUUGAAUCCAUGAAAUCGUGGAUACCGUAACCGAACUAAAUCCAUGGAUACCGUGACUGAGUUAGUUUCAGUUUUCUAUCUUUUGUGUCUGGUUAUUAUGAGUAAUUUUUCUGUGUAAAGACGAUUCUCUCCUCGAAAGAUAUGAGAAAUAACCAACCUGCUAUGUGGUAUGGUUUUAGGCAAAAGGAGCAUUCGGUGUUGUGUGAUUUUAGGCUCCUGUCAACACUAGUGUGACGACGAAAACAGUCUUUGAAAUCUUACUCUGCUGAAGAACCUGAAGGGUUAUUGCUUGUCGAGUUGUGAUUUGAUGAUCUGUAGUGUUACGUCAAUGGACUUGAACAAUAUCGUGAACUCAUAUUUGAUUGUUUGGAGCAAUCUCUGUUGUGAGUAAUAAUGAUUUUAUCGCUUUUGGUUUUGUUAGAUACAUUUAAGAUAGAUUUUACUCUUAUUUGCUAUGCGUGGUUUAUCCAUUGUUUAUAUAGUGGUUGUCUUAGAAAUUACUUUAAUCCUUAAAAAGGUGUGCAAUCUUCCAACACAUCAUGUGGACUCAAAAUUACUCUCUAGUUGAUUUGUCUAAAUAUACUGCAGCUGUUCUUGUUGGUUUGUCAGCUAUCAUCAUUCUUCCAUUAUUAAUUAUUAUCAAUUAAGGUUUCACAAGGUAUUAUGAAAGAUUGUUCUUUCUUAGUUUGUACUCUAUCCAUUCUAAAUUAUAAGUCAUUCUAAUAUUGUUUGAGCCACAAGUUUGAUUAAAGCUAUAGAGAAAAUUAUGAAGAUUCAUAUCAAAUGUAAAAUCUAAAUUAAUAAGAAUCUAGUGACAUUUAGUAUCAUAAAUGUUAUUAUUUUAAUGUACAACUUAGGUUAGACUUAAUAUUUCUUUGACUCCUCAAGAAAGUUGGACUGACUUACCAUUUAGGAUGGAGUAUGAUUUAUUAUUGUCUUAUAAAAGCCUGGAUCGGUAUACUCUGAAUAUCUGAGUACCUACAUGAUGAGUAUUUGUAAGAUGUGUGAAGGUCGACUGCUAGGUAUACAUUGUCAGUAUGAAAUGGCUAUCGUCUUCAGCUUUCUUUCCUGGUCAGUGGACAGUGAAAUAUUUAUACGAUGUGUUAAUGUGGACUGCUCUGUAUAAAUCGUUGGUACAAAAUGGCUAUGGUCUUCAGCUUCAUUUCCUGGUCACUGGACAGUGAACUGCUCAAGCACACUUAGUAGAUACUAGGCACAAUCAGAGCUUAUCGAACUUGUGCGAUAUAGUUCGUUUCAGUACUCCAUGGUUAUGAUGUUAUUGAUCACUAUUGAGCUGAAGCACUACAAUCUGUGACAAAAAAAUUUGAUACAGCAGCAACCACCGCUGAAGCUUGGCAGAAGGGAUGAAAUUAGGAAUACGAAACCCAUUAGGCCUGUUUGGUUGUUCGGUCGAUUAUGUGUUUAUGUUGAUUUUGAAUGGAUUUUACCAGGUCAAUUCUUAUAGAAGCAAGCUCAGAAGCUGAAAAAAGCUGAGGCCCAAUAUGCCAUAGAUGGGAGAUCUGUUUUCUUUUUGUUCCCGGGCAAAUAUGCUUUGCUCUAGGUUCAGCUUCUUGUCUUCUAUAUUCCAAAUUUUUUUGUAUAAUAAUUCUCUUUGGGUUUAACCAUUUACUCUGAAGCUUCUGUUUAUAUAUAUGCGAGUCUAUUCUUGAGCAGUUUUUUUUUCAUUAGUUCUCUUUUUGCAAAGCAUCUGUGUAAGUCAAUUUAUUGCUAAACUGAACAGUUCUCAUUAGAAGUUCUUAAUUCUCCCUCCAUUUAAAAUUAAAAGUUGUUUUAACUUUACAGAAUUUGCUAGUAGAGUCAGUAUAAUCGUUCAGGUAACUACGUACACAUGAACAGGACUUAUACUGGUGGUCACCGGCUCUGACGACUUAUUUGGACCUAUUCUCUGUGAUUUCGUCUUAGGCCUUGUUCGUUUGUGUCGGAUUGGUGGGUCGGAACGAUUCCUAACCGGAUUGCUUCUUUAAUUUAUAUAAACUUUGAUUAGCUGGAACGAUUCCGGGUGCAAUCCGAUAGAAACGAACAAGGCCUUAGUGUUCCAUAUUCUUUCCGGAUUGUUAAUUCUGAGGAGGUUGAAGCCGUUGUAUGCACAUCGGAGUUAUUAAAACUCCACCCGGUUUGGGCGCCUCCCCGCACCUCACGGGAUCUCGACCACUCGCGUGCCGACGCGUGGUCUGUUCAUGGAUCCAAGAAUUUUAUCCAAUUCGACUGAGUCGUUCGCGUCUCGUCCGCUCCUCCCUCAUUGAUCCACUGCCAAGUCCAUCCUUCCUGUUCGACUCCGACCCAUCGCCCCUCCAACUUCGAUCCCGGGUGCGCCCCCCGCCUUGCCUCCACCGCCUCUGUCUCGGCGGCACGAUUACGCCACUCUCCCUCCUCUCCUGCCCUCCCUCCCCAGUCUCUCUCUCCCCCCGUCUGCUGAGUAAUCAAAUCCAUCAUCCACGCCCUAGCGAAACUGGAACCCCACCCAACAGGUACCCUGCCGUUCGUCAGGCGGUUCACGCCCAAGGUGGUGGAGGCUGCCACGCGCGGCUUUACCGCGGUGCUCGACGCCACCAGCACGGCCCACAGGGCGCUUCGCCGGCGGCCUUGUCACCACCGUCGUCAGGCUCCGCCGCGACGACGACCACCGCCAGGGAGAGGGAGGAGGGCCCACGGACGCCUUCUACCUGGAGCUGCAGCUGCUGGCCCGCCUCAACCACCGCCACGUCGUCAGGCUGCGCGGCUUCGCGCUAGCCCACCACGCAAGGUUCCUCGUCUUCGAUCACAUGGAGAACAGGAGCCUCAACGAAUGCCUCCACGAUUUGGAGCUUUACGAUGAAAUCAUCCUUUUGCAAGCAUGCAAUUGUCACACAGACGGACCCCAAAGAAUAUUGAAUAUGUCAUAAUCAGUGGGGGCCAGAAUAAAAUAGAAGAUUUUGAUGUUGAGUCUACAGAGACGGGAUUGAGGAGUUGAGGACAGGACACAUGAGUUUUGGUUCAAGAAGAACAAAACAAAGUACCAAAUCUGCAUGCUCCAAGAGUGUUAGAUAGCAGCAAAGUCUCUAACAAAAAUGAACAGCGGACAAUGAUCCGACUGAUGGCUCAACGGGACGCGACGAAAAAGGCUGCACGCACCGUGCCAGGGAUGGAGAUUGUCACGCUGUUCGUACCGUCGCACAGUGUUUUCGCCCAUAGACAACCUACGCCCAAGCGUUCGAGACUUCGGGGUGGAUCCCGAGCUUCCGCUUGCUACGGAGCAGAGAGCCACGACAGGGGUGGAUCCCGAGCUUCCGCUUGCUGCGGAGCAGAGAGCCACGGCAGAGCGAGCUCAACAAGAGGGCCCCUAUCAUGCCUUUUGAUGGAAGCUAUCCUCCAUAUUGUGCUGCUAAUAUAACAUCUAGAUAUUUUUUACUGUAAGAACCCUCAGUGUAGUCUCCAAGCGGUAAGCACCACUGCAGUCUGCAGUUAAAAUGCGUGUUUCCUCUACAUUGGUUCUGCAUUUAUUUAAGUUUGGCAAUGUUGUGCUCAACAAAUUUGGUUAACAUAUCAGCAACAAUACCGUUUGGAAGACAAUUUCUGCUAAUGCCAACGGUUUGAUC